CCUACGGGAGACAGCAGUGAGGAAUAUUGGUCAAUGGGCGAGAGCCUGAACCAGCCAAGUAGCGUGAAGGAUGACUGCCCUAUGGGUUGUAAACUUCUUUUAUAAAGGAAUAAAACGAGGCACGUGUGCCUUUUUGCAUGUACUUUAUGAAUAAGGAUCGGCUAACUCCGUGCCAGCAGCCGCGGUAAUACGGAGGAUCCGAGCGUUAUCCGGAUUUAUUGGGUUUAAAGGGAGCGUAGAUGGGUUGUUAAGUCAGUUGUGAAAGUUUGCGGCUCAACCGUAAAAUUGCAAUUGAUACUGGCAGACUUGAGUACAGUUGAGGUAGGCGGAAUUCGUGGUGUAGCGGUGAAAUGCUUAGAUAUCACGAAGAACUCCGAUUGCGAAGGCAGCUUACUAAACUGUCACUGACAUUGAUGCUCGAAAGUGUGGGUAUCAAACAGGAUUAGAUACCCGAGUAGUC
rnacentral:rRNA from 1 species